rnacentral:rRNA from 1 species
AAGACCUUGCACUUUUGGAGCGGCCGAUGUCUGAUUAGCUAGUUGGUGGGGUAAAGGCCUACCAAGGCUUCGAUCAGUAGUUGGUCUGAGAGGACGACCAGCCACACUGGGACUGAGACACGGCCCAGACUCCUACGGGAGGCAGCAGUGGGGAAUUUUGGACAAUGGGGGCAACCCUGAUCCAGCCAUGCCGCGUGAGUGAAGAAGGCCUUCGGGUUGUAAAGCUCUUUCAGUCGGGAAGAAAAGGUUGUGACUAAUAAUUGCAAUUCAUGACGGUACCGACAGAAGAAGCACCGGCUAACUACGUGCCAGCAGCCGCGGUAAUACGUAGGGUGCGAGCGUUAAUCGGAAUUACUGGGCGUAAAGGGUGCGCAGGCGGUCUUGUAAGUCAGAUGUGAAAUCCCCGGGCUUAACCUGGGAACU